GGAUAGGGCUCUGAAUGCAGAAGCCUUCUUAGAGAUCAUAAAGGGGGAAAUACCCAUGAGGAUCAGCAUCCGUCUUGGUCUGCUUGGGCUCUGAUGACAAAAUACCAUAAGCUAGCUUCCUGAAGAAAAUCAAGAAAAAUAAAGCUAUAGUCCGGAAAUGGGCCUACAGACAGAAAGCAAAUGAAUCCUGAAGGUCAAGAGGCCCCUGGCAGCCUGCUAAUCCAUCCUACUCCUGAAGUCACUCCUGGCAGAUCCAGAUCCAGCCAGCUCCAAUACAUUGAAGAAAGCAGAAUCUUAGGGGUGUGUAUUAAGGGCCGUAAAGGGAGGAUUCGCAGCAUGCUUGUAACCUCUUUGGGGUCCUGACCUGGCGGCCGCCCAACUUGCCAUAUGAAUUUUGUGAUGCCACUCUCCA